AAUCAACGCUGGCGGCGUGCCUCAGACAUGCAAGUCGAACGCGAAAGUCCCCUUCGGGGGACGAAGUAGAGUGGCGCACGGGUGAGUAACACGUAGGUAAUCUACCUUCGGAUGGGGAAUAACAACCGGAAACGGUUGCUAAUACCGCAUAAUGCAGCGGCACCUAAUGGUGACAGUUGUUAAAGCGGGGGAUUGAAAGACCUCGCGUCUGAAGAGGAGCCUGCGGCGGAUUAGCUUGUUGGAGGGUAACGGCCUACCAAGGCGACGAUCCGUAGCCGGCCUGAGAGGGCGGUCGGCCACACUGACACUGACAUACGGGUCAGACUCCUACGGGAGGCAGCAGUCGGGAAUUUUGGGCAAUGGGCGCAAGCCUGACCCAGCAACGCCGCGUGAAGGAUGAAGCAUUUUCGGGUGUGUAAACUUCACAAGAAUGGGAAGAAUAAGUUAAGGCG
rnacentral:rRNA from 1 species